UACGUAGGGUGCAAGCGUUAUCCGGAAUUAUUGGGCGUAAAGAGCUCGUAGGCGGUUUGUCGCGUCUGCUGUGAAAACUGGGGGCUCAACCCCCAGCCUGCAGUGGGUACGGGCAGACUAGAGUGCGGUAGGGGAGAUUGGAAUUCCUGGUGUAGCGGUGGAAUGCGCAGAUAUCAGGAGGAACACCGAUGGCGAAGGCAGAUCUCUGGGCCGUAACUGGACGCUGAGGAGCGAAAGCAUGGGGAGCGAACAGG
rnacentral:rRNA from 1 species